rfam:Ictidomys tridecemlineatus contig093536, whole genome shotgun sequence.
GGGGAUAUAGCUCAGUGGUGGGGUGCUUGCCUAGUAUGCAUGAGACCCUGGGUUCAAUUCCCAGUACUGCUG